rnacentral:misc_RNA from 1 species
GUAGGUGAACCUGCGGAAGGAUCAUUACUGAGAUAGGGUCCUUCGGGGCCCGACCUCCAACCCUUUGUCUAUCUACCACUGUUGCCUCGGCGGGUCGCCGGUGCCCCUCAGGGGGUGCCGCCGUCGGCCUCCGCGCUCUCGAGUGCCCGCCAUGAGGCCUGUAUAAACCCUUUCAAAUUUAGUAAUCUGAGAGUAUAUCAAUACUUCAAAACUUUCAACAACGGAUCUCUUGGUUCUG